rnacentral:tRNA from 1 species
GGCUCGUUGGUCAAGCGGUUAAGACACGGCCCUUUCACGGCUGUAACAGGGGUUCGAUUCCCCUACGAGUCA